GACGAACGCUGGCGGCGUGCUUAACACAUGCAAGUCGAACGGAAAGGCCCUGCUUUUGUGGGGUGCUCGAGUGGCGAACGGGUGAGUAACACGUGAGUAACCUGCCCUUGACUUUGGGAUACCUUCAGGAAAAUGGGGCUAAUACCGGAUCGGAUCUCCUGCUGCAUGGUGGGCGUUGGAAAGUUUCGGCGGUUGGGGAUGGUCUCGCGGUUUAUCAGCUUGUUGGUGGGGUAGUGGCUUACCAAGGCUUUGACGGGUAGCCGGCCUGAGAGGGUGACCGGCCACAUUGGGACUGAGAUACGGCCCAGACUCCUACGGGAGGCAGCAGUGGGGAAUAUUGCACAAUGGGCGGAAGCCGGAUGCAGCAACGCCGCGUGCGGGAUGACGGCCUUCGGGUUGUAACCCGCUUUCGCCUGUGACGAAGCGUGAGUGACGGUAAUGGGUAAAGAAGCACCGGCUAACUACGUG
rnacentral:rRNA from 1 species